AGAAUCAACGCUGGCGGCGUGCCUAACACAUGCAAGUCGAACGAGAAAGUGGAGCAAUCCAUGAGUAAAGUGGCGCACGGGUGAGUAACACGUGACUAACCUACCCUUGAGUGGGGGAUAACCUAGGGAAACCUGGGCUAAUACCGCAUAAUACCUUCGGGUCAAAGGAGCAAUUCGCUUAAGGAGGGGGUCGCGGCCGAUUAGUUAGUUGGCGGGGUAAUGGCCCACCAAGACUAUGAUCGGUAUCCGGCCUGAGAGGGCGCACGGACACACUGGAACUGAAACACGGUCCAGACUCCUACGGGAGGCAGCAGUGGGGAAUUUUGCGCAAUGGGGGAAACCCUGACGCAGCAACGCCGCGUGGAGGAUGAAGUCCCUUGGGACGUAAACUCCUUUCGAUCGGGACGAUUAUGACGGUACCGAGAGAAGAAGCCCCGGACUAACUUCGCGCCAGCAGCCGC
rnacentral:rRNA from 1 species